UACCAGCUCUCCGAGUUGUAGGGAUGAUUAUUGGGCUUAAAGCGUUCGUAGCUGGCUUAGCAAGUCUCCUGUUAAAUUCAGCGACCUAAUCGUUGAGCCGCGGGAGAUACUAUUAGGCUAGGAGGCGGGAGAGGUCGACGGUACUUUCGGGGUAGGGGUGAAAUCCUAUAAUCCCGGGAGGACCACCAGUGGCGAAGGCUGUCGACUAGAACGCGCUCGACGGUGAGGGACGAAAGCUGGGGGAGCGAACCGGAUUAGAUACCCGGGUAGUCCCAGCUGUAAACUAUGCGGGCUAGGUGUUGGGGUGGCUACGGGCCACUUCAGUGCCGCAGGAAAGCCAUUAAGCCCGCCGCCUGGGGAGUACGGCCGCAAGGCUGAAACUUAAAGGAAUUGGCGGGGGAGCACCACAAGGCGUGAAGCUUGCGGUUC
rnacentral:rRNA from 1 species